rnacentral:lncRNA from 1 species
GAGGCAGACAGCGGCGGCGAGGCGCGCAGCGGCGGCGCAGGCGCGGAGAGGCGCUGGCGCCGGCUCUGGCGCGGAGAGGUGCAGGCCCAGGCUCCACUCCCCAGCUGUGAAAGGGUUUUCUGCCUCCUGCUAAGCCAAUUUAUACAUUCCAAGAAAAUCUUCCAUUUCAUCCAGGUGAAACGGAACCUACUGGAAUGAAGCUGGCCUCCCAUGGAAUGAAGCUGGCCUCCCGUCUCCUUGAUUUGAAGCAGCUUCUCCACGUUGGUUAUUAUGCCAUUUUUCUAAAUCUAACAUUUUAAAAUUUGUGCCUUUUCUUUCUCUUUUGCUUGACUUCUCAGAGGUUUUUUUAACGGUCUUUUCAAAGAAGUGGUUUUGGGUUUUAUUUAUCAAGUCUACUUUUAUUAUGGCUGUUUUAAAAUUAAAUACAUUUAUUUCUUGUUUCCCUUA